rnacentral:rRNA from 1 species
GACGAACGCUGGCGGCGUGCUUAACACAUGCAAGUCGAACGGAAAGGCCCUGCUUUUGUGGGGUGCUCGAGUGGCGAACGGGUGAGUAACACGUGAGUAACCUGCCCUUGACUUUGGGAUAACUUCAGGAAACUGGGGCUAAUACCGGAUAGGAGCUCCUGCUGCAGGGUGGGGGUUGGAAAUUUUCGGCGGUUGGGGAUGGACUCGCGGCUUAUCAGUUUGUUGGUGGGGUAGUGGCUUACCAAGGCUUUGACGGGUAGCCGGCCUGAGAGGGUGACCGGCCACAUUGGGACUGAGAUACGGACCAGACUCCUACGGGAGGCAGCAGUGGGGAAUAUUGCACAAUGGGCGGAAGCCUGAUGCAGCAACGCCGCGUGCGGGAUGACGGCCUUCGGGUUGUAAACCGCUUUCGCCUGUGACGAAGCGUGAGUGACGGUAAUGGGUAAAGAAGCACCGGCUAACUACGUG